UAUAUAUAUAUAUAUGUAAAUAAAUACAUUUCUCUCUUUUUUUAAACUUUGACCCCAAACUGUUCAUAAUUUUCUCAAGUAUUGGAUCAAAUUGCUUUUCCUGAUCAACCAAUAUAUGAAGAGGAGGCAGUUUGGUUAUUUGUUUGAAAGGGGAACUGGUGCAUCCCUACUCCUUAUCAACAGCACUACCUCAUUUCUUUUCAGGAGGCUUUCCAGUGUGGUUUUAUUAGUGUUAUGUAAUUAACACCUUUUAAGAUCUGUUUUCCUAAUUUGUCUGCCUUUGCUAUUUGCAGAAAUAAUCGUCCCUACACUGACUGUAUGUUCAACAGGAAAAAUCAUGUCGCUUUUGUCCAUUGCAGCCUCUUGUCCGAUCGCAGAAAGAUUGUUUCACUCAAGUGUUACCGUUACUGUGGAACCCCUUCCGAAAACAAGAACAUACGGUGUCCUUGAUGCAUCACCUGAAACUAGUCCGCGACCAAUUGUAUCCCGUUAUCCCGCCAACUACAGACAAGGAAAUGAGAAAAGCUCCUGCAAUUUGACACUUGUGCCACUUGCCACUUGUGCGCCUCAUGGAUUGAUUAAUGUUUUAUGAAAAAUCUAUAAAAAUGCAAAACCAAAAAGUUAAAUAAAGUGACUAAUAAUAUAGAAAAAAUACACAGCAUUUAAACCCUUCCAUGGUCCACAUUUUGCAGUUCAAUCGAUUGAUUCAGAUUCCAUGUGUUCUGUGCUGAAUUCAUUUUUGGAUUCCAGAAUGGAGGGAGCUAUCAUAGCUAAUAAGCUGUUUCGCGCCAUGGAGCAAAACCAGAGCAAUGAUGUAAAGGCAGAGUUGAUGUUCUAAAUACGUCUCGUAUAAAAGGAGUGACUGUCGUGACAUGACAUGACUGCCUAGGGCUUGAAUGGCCUGGUCAACUAGCGGCAGUGAACAGAUGGCUUAAGCAAGGACAGCAGAAAAUAGAAGGAGAAAAAUAGUAGGACAACUCACCCAUGGACUAAAUUAUAUAUUAAACAAGUAUGGAGCAGAGCCCACAAAGCUAAUAUACUGUCAGCUGUAGGGAAAUUAGUAGUAAACUUCAAACAUAAAUACAUUUAAAGCAUCUGUCAUUUUUCACAAUUAUAUAAAAACCAGCCGAUGGCCUGUAAAUGUAGAGGGGGAAGGAGGCAGGCGGCUUUAGGAUAUGUGCUGUUCUGGAACCUGGAUUUUCUGGUCUUAAUGCCUCUCAGUCUUUUGUGAGGAGGACGGAAAUUGACACGGUUGUUACUAGCCGGGUGUGAGGGGUCCUUAAGAACGUACUGAUUUCCACCGGGGGGUUGGAGUUCCCAUCCAAUCAUAACGGGCGCAGUACGCACCACUCUGUCCGACUGUUUUCUGUCCUGAGCUGACAUGUUGCCAAACCACUCAGUUACUGCAUCGGUAAGGAUACCCUCCAUUGCUGCUCCAUGAAUCUACAUUCGUUCAUAUCAUUUGACUCCUUCAACGAAGUCAAGGCAGUCGCUCAAUAUAUCCGUCGCUUGGGGGGGACCAUUGUCUGAUAGGACGAUACUUGAGGAUGAGAAAAACAGCGUUACGGUCCAACUCUCCAAGGGGAGCUCUGGCUACAGUGUGAAACACCCGUGAAAUAACACAAAAACAAAACAGCACCCCCUGCUAUCUGUAAAAAUGUACUCUCUAUCCCCUGGCGAUGCUUCUAUUAAGCUGACAUGAAAUCACCCAGUACCGAAACCAGAGGGGUUUUCAAUCUCCAUAACAUGGACAGAUCGCCGCUGAGUCAACUGUAACGCCCUUGAGGGGGGUUGUCCACAGCCAUCAGGAAGAGAGCUGCAAAUUCCCCAGGGACAUAGAAUGGUCUUGCCUCGGCUCCUGGGUCUUAACACUUCAUGGCCCAGAAUAGUACACAACUUCUCAUGUUGUAACCAUGAGCUCACAAGUCAAAUUUACAGGUGGCACGUGUGUUUAAAUUACAGCCGUUUCAACAUUGUAUCCCUGUGAUAAUUAUAAUGUGUUUACUCAUGUGAAAGACCGACUUUGGGAAUUAGUUUCAUGCUGGUUCCAAAAGUAUGUUACAUCAAAGACUUUUUUAAGGAUGUUGACACUAUCAACUUCAUCUUGUGGUGGGAAAAAAAAGGGGCGACCUUUACUCUUUUGAGUGUUACGUUAUCUGUAGAUAGGACCAUGGUAUACAUCUGUGUGACUCUGCACACUAUACAUUGUUGGGGUCAGUUAAUGAUGAUGAUGAUAAUAAUAAUAAUAAUAAUAAUGACAUCCUUAAAAAAAAAGAGUCCAGUCGUAUUGUACGUGAUGUCUCAUUUUCUCUCAGGUGGUUUUCUUCUUAUCAUCCAGCAGUGCAAAGAGCAGGACAAGACCCUUCUAUCCUGCCGAUAUUUCUACCUGUGUUCAUACAACUGUAAAAAUUUCACCAGCUUAAACUCAAAUACAUCAGCAACAGAAAUGUAAAAUUGUUCCUCGUCACAUGAAUCAAACCUCAAGGUGUUUCUUCUUCCCGUUUGCUCUAAAACCUUUUUAGUUCUUUAUUUACUGAACAUAAAUGCAUUGUUGGUACCUCAAAGAUACUUUUUUUUCUUUACUUUUUUAACCCUGCCAUGUAUGGACGUAUAGUCACAAAAAGGAUUAAUAUGUUCUUUUACUGCAGUAACAUUCAUACAUGGACAGAAGUGAAUGUGUCGUUAGCAAACCUGGUUCAAACAUGAAUUUAUUUUUUGGAAUCUAGAUUUUAAAAACUAUACUUUCAUAUAUAUAUUGUUUAUUAAAUACCAUCUCAUUUAAUUUCUGAACUACAUGGCAUUGUGCCAUUUGACAAGCCACACCCAACAGCAAGCUCACGUGGGAAGCAAACUGCUCCUGCACUACACACAUCACCAAUCUGAAGUGGCAAGCAUGUUGUAUUUGUGGCCACGAUCCAAUCAGCGAUGUCAGAUCAGGCGUCCAUCGCGGUUAAAAUGUGGCCCCCUUUUUUUGUGGCAUCGCUGACUCUGCUGACUGUUUGAAUGUAUGGGGGAGCUGAGCCGCCUCGGCUUUUCCGCCUCGUGGUUUGAUCUUUUUUAUGUAGGCCAGGGCAAACCAUCACAUUGAUAUUUUUGACCCAGGUUCUUAAACUGAUACUGUUCUAUACUGAUUAACUGUCUCUUAUCAUCCCUAAACGCGUGUAUGUCCUGAGUCCAUGGAUUAAGCAUUAUAUUCUCAAAAGCAUUCCAGUUCGAUACCUUGAACAUACCUCUCUCGUGCUAAAACCUCAGACUUGUGUUCCUGGUGCUCUGACAGGCGUCAUUCAGACCCGGGCUCAGUUCACUCUGUGUCACUACCAAAUUCGCAGAUACUGGAGCCAAAGCUGUGGUGUUUGUAAGUAGGUGGCAGUUAAGAGUCAGCGUUUUGAGUCGUUCAACGUGACAAAAACAUUGUCUUGUUGAUCCUCAUCAUACCGAGGCUUUUUUCACAUACUGUGAUUUUUGUAGAGCUGGAAAUUAUAAUAAUAAUACAUAUUAUUAUUAUACAUCUUGUGAAAUAGCCUCUGUUGUCACUACAGACAGACAGCCAUUUGGCCACUGCAGGUACACUGACAGAAAGAUCAUGUUAUUUGCUGACCAGUAAUCUAGUAUGUAAGUCAAUUCUCCACACCAGUGCAAAGAUUUGUUCCAAUAAAAACAUUCAACUCAUUUUGAAAUGAGUUGGCCUGUGCCCGUGAGUUGCAGUCUUUGGAUGUUGGUCUGAAAAGCAACGACCGGAGCGAUCAGAUAAAUUGUUCAUGCUCUCACUUCAUAGAGAUGACGGUUACCUCGGUCGUUAUGUUUGUUUAAUCCUCUUUUUGUAAGGGUUUUAUUAAAACAGUAUACCUCAUGUUGGUUACUUGAUUUGAUUCUGAUCAGUUUUUUUUGAUUCUGCGUAUUUUGUAAUGAGUAGGACACAGUUACGUCGAAGCGUCCCGUCGUUUUGUGAGCCAAGUUUUUCAUGGAAAACGGGAUAGAACGUCUUGUUUUACCUCAGUGUCUCAUGAGUCUUUACUUUUUACAGUGGCCUGGAUGGUUUUGUCUAGUGGCGAGGGGGUAAACAAAUGAGGGGAGGAAGGGGUGGGUGGAAGUAAUCAAAAUUGACUUUGAUGUGGUUAAUCUGCAAAUUGUUGGGUAACACCAAACUCCCCCCCCCCCCCCCCCCAGGGUUCAAAGAAUCAUUUGGCAUAAUCAAUACUCAUGUUUCAAAUAAAAAUCCAUUGUAAAAUAAAGCAAAAACAAGAAAAUGUCCGGAUGAAUAAAAGUCAGUUGUACCACUUUUACGCAACCCAGGUGACUGAAGUACUACGCAGGGAGAAGGACUUGAGUGACGUCCUCCCCAAGCAGGUCAUACCUCUCGGCGCAGACAGCCAUUUAGAAAUAAUUGUCUCUUCUCUACUCAGGUCCCGCAUCUUUGCAUACAAUUGUAGAGGAUCAUGCCAGCAUACCUGACUCGGAUGUCAUUCGUUGUCAAACAGAGCCUCGUUUUGGCCUUUUGGCAAAAGCAAAUCAAGGAAAACUCUUAUGCACAGAUGAUGUUUUGUUCUUGUACAGAUCACUCAGUGUAUUUCUGUCUCUCCCGCUCUUCUCUGUACAUUCUGGCGCUUCUGUGGUGAGCUGCUUUGUCCAGUGUUGUCACACUGCUGUGCAUUAGUUGUACGUCAACCUUUCUCCGGCCCUGUGUGCACCAGCUCAGUCGUGCUUCUCACAACGUGCAAGCACAGGCUCAGACUCUGUGGCCAUGUGCCGCCGGCGACGCUCUGCGGCGACUCAGAAACCUUUUGUAAUCGACGUCGUGUGCCAAACAACACGUCAUUCAUGUCAGACACUACUGUAGGAAACAAGUAGUAGACUAGCACUUCUUCUUGGGCCAUGAGCGACUUUGGACUGUCAUCUUUACAUUUAUAGAAGUGCAAUUUCCGUAGUCUGUAAACCGACAGGUGGAGUGCUCAGUGCUACCCAAUGGCGGCCGUGGCCAAGAUUUCCGAUGGUUCUUGCUUGUUCAGAGGAAUCGCUCACAGGAUGGGUAGUGUGUGUGGUUUGUAGAAAUAUUGCCACUGUCGUACCAUAUGGGAAAGUGUCAAAACUCACAGCAACUGUCGAGAUGUCUGUGGAAACGACUCUUCUUGUAAAUAAACAUGAAGCAAAAGUAAAA